rnacentral:piRNA from 1 species
UCCCAAAAGCAGGAUAUUUGCUAGGUAA